rnacentral:rRNA from 1 species
AAGUAAGACUAAUACCCAAUGAUAUCCCACGAAGGCAUCCGAAUGGGAUUAAAGAUUUAUCGGUGAUGGAUGGGGAUGCGUCUGAUUAGCUUGUUGGCGGGGGUAACGGCCCACCAAGGCGACGAUCAGUAGGGGUUCUGAGAGGAAGGUCCCCCACAUUGGAACUGAGACACGGUCCAAACUCCUACGGGAGGCAGCAGUGAGGAAUAUUGGUCAAUGGGCGAGAGCCUGAACCAGCCAAGUAGCGUGCAGGACGACGGCCCUAUGGGUUGUAAACUGCUUUUAUAAGGGAAUAAAGUGAGUCUCGUGAGGCUUUUUGCAUGUACCUUAUGAAUAAGGACCGGCUAAUUCCGUG